rfam:Candidate divison MSBL1 archaeon SCGC-AAA261O19 AAA261O19_Contig_0, whole genome shotgun sequence.
GGGCCCGUGGCUCAAUCUGGCUAGAGCAAUCGGCUCUUAGCCAAUCGGGAGUGACCGAUAGGUUGGGGGUUCGAAUCCCCUCGGGCCCG